rnacentral:rRNA from 1 species
AGGCUGCAACCCGCCUGCACGAAGCCGGAGUUGCUAGUAAUCGCGAAUCAGAAUGUCGCGGUGAAUGCGUUCCCGGGUCUUGUACACACCGCCCGUCACACCAUGGAAGUUGGGGGUNCCCAAAGCCGGCAAGCAAAUAUGCUGUCUAAGGCAAAACCAAUGACUGGGGUGAAGUCGUAACAAGGUAAC